rnacentral:rRNA from 1 species
UACAGCGAAACUGCGAAUGGCUCAUUAUAUAAGUUAUCGUUUAUUUGAUAGUACCUUACUACUUGGAUAACCGUGGUAAUUCUAGAGCUAAUACAUGCUAAAAAUCCCGACUUCGGAAGGGAUGUAUUUAUUAGAUUAAAAACCAAUGCCCUCUGGGCUCUCUGGUGAUUCAUGAUAACUUCGCGAAUCGCAUGGCCUUGCGCCGGCGAUGGCUCAUUCAAAUUUCUUCCCUAUCAACUUUCGAUGUUUGGGUAUUGGCCAAACAUGGUUGCAACGGGUAACGGAGGGUUAGGGCUCGACCCCGGAGAAGGAGCCUGAGAAACGGCUACUACAUCCAAGGAAGGCAGCAGGCGCGCAAAUUACCCAAUCCCGACACGGGGAGGUAGUGACAAUAAAUACUGAUACAGGGCUCUUUUGGGUCUUGUAAUUGGAAUGAGUACAAUUUAAAUCCCUUAACGAGGAACAAUUGGAGGGCAAGUCUGGUGCCAGCAGCCGCGGUAAUUCCAGCUCCAAUAGCGUAUAUUAAAGUUGUUGUGGUUAAAAAGCUCGUAGUUGAACCUUGGGCCUGGCUGGCCGGUCCGCCUCACCGCGUGUACUGGUCCGGCCGGGCCUUUCCCUCUGUGGAACCCCAUGCCCUUCACUGGGUGUGGCGGGGAAACAGGACUUUUACUUUGAAAAAAUUAGAGUGCUCAAGGCAGGCCUAUGCUCGAAUACAUUAGCAUGGAAUAAUAGAAUAGGACGUGUGGUUCUAUUUUGUUGGUUUCUAGGACCGCCGUAAUGAUUAAUAGGGACAGUCGGGGGCAUCAGUAUUCAAUUGUCAGAGGUGAAAUUCUUGGAUUUAUUGAAGACUAACUACUGCGAAAGCAUUUGCCAAGGAUGUUUUCAUUAAUCAGGAACGAAAGUUAGGGGAUCGAAGACGAUCAGAUACCGUCGUAGUCUUAACCAUAAACUAUGCCGACUAGGGAUCGGACGAUGUUAUUUUUUGACUCGUUCGGCACCUUACGAGAAAUCAAAGUGC